CAGUUCGAGAAGAUGGCGGCCUGAGCCGGAGUCCUCCUUCCCCUCCUCCCUCUCCACUGCUGCAAUGCCCAGGCCCCCCCCCCGCCCCACCAUCACCACGUUUCCCGUCUGUAAUGGUGCCAGAGGCUUUAAAUCUUGCGGAAGCCACAUCUGCUGCCUGCAGCGGAGAUGGGAUUUCACCAUAUUGGCCAGGCUGGUCUUGAACUCAAGGUGAUCCGCCCACCUCAGCCUCUCAAAGUGCUGUGAUUACAGUCUCGGGUAUGUCUUUAUCAGCAGUGUGAAAAUGGACUCACUCCUGCCCUGUCUGGAUCUGGACAAGAGCCCACCACCCUGUUGGCAGUAGUCAGGUAGCUCUGCCCCUAAGAACCUGCAGCUUUUGGAAGAAAGGCACCCUGUGGUUUCAGAAGCC
rnacentral:lncRNA from 1 species